UGAGUAACCUGCCCUUCACUCUGGGAUAACUCCGGGAAACCGGGGCUAAUACUGGAUACGACCUACUCGGGCAUCCGAUGUGGGUGGAAAGAUUUAUUGGUGAGGGAUGGACUCGCGGCCUAUCAGCUCGUUGGUGAGGUAAUGGCUCACCAAGGCGACGACGGGUAGCCGGCCUGAGAGGGCGAUCGGCCACACUGGGACUGAGACACGGCCCAGACUCCUACGGGAGGCA
rnacentral:rRNA from 1 species